CCGGCAGAGGAGGCUGCAGAGG
rnacentral:miRNA from 1 species